rnacentral:rRNA from 1 species
UACGUAGGGCGCAAGCGUUGUCCGGAAUUAUUGGGCGUAAAGGGCGCGUAGGCGGCUGUACAAGUCAAAGGUGAAAUCCCUCGGCUCAACUGAGGAACUGCCUUUGAAACUGUACGGCUUGAGGCCGGGAGGGGGUAGCGGAAUUCCCAAUGUAGCGGUGAAAUGCGUAGAUAUUGGGAGGAACACCAGUGGCGAAGGCGGCUACCUGGACCGGUUCUGACGCUGAGGCGCGAAAGCGUGGGUAGCAAACAGG